rnacentral:rRNA from 1 species
ACGCCGCGUGAGUGAUGAAGGUCUUCGGAUCGUAAAACUCUGUUAUCAGGGAAGAACAAAUGUGUAAGUAACUGUGCACAUCUUGACGGUACCUGAUCAGAAAGCCACGGCUAACUACGUGCCAGCAGCCGCGGUAAUACGUAGGUGGCAAGCGUUAUCCGGAAUUAUUGGGCGUAAAGCGCGCGUAGGCGGUUUUUUAAGUCUGAUGUGAAAGCCCACGGCUCAACCGUGGAGGGUCAUUGGAAACUGGAAAACUUGAGUGCAGAAGAGGAAAGUGGAAUUCCAUGUGUAGCGGUGAAAUGCGCAGAGAUAUGGAGGAACACCAGUGGCGAAGGCGACUUUCUGGUCUGUAACUGACGCUGAUGUGCGAAAGCGUGGGGAUCAAACAGGAUUAGAUACCCUGGUAGUCCACGCCGUAAACGAUGAGUGCUAAGUGUUAGGGGGUUUCCGCCCCUUAGUGCUGCAGCUAACGCAUUAAGCACUCCGCCUGGGGAG